AUGCCAUGAUGAGGACAUCUUCUCAGGAGUUCCUUAAACCGUUCCCAAGCUUCAUACAGUGACUCCCCAUCAUUCUGUGCCAUCUUCACAGAAUUCUGGGCCU